GGAGUAUGGGGUAUAAUUCGAAGCCACGAGAUCAACCUCCCCAGGUUUUGACAUCCCUCUGACCGUCCUAGAUAUAGGGCUUCCCUUCGGGGCAGAGGUGACAUGUGGAGCAUGGUUGUCGUCAGCUCGUGUCGUGAGAUGUUGGGUUAAGUCCCGCAACGAGCGCAACCCUUAACUUUAGUUGCCAGCAUUGAGUUGGGCACUCUAGAGUGACUGCCGGUGACAAACCGGAGGAAGGUGGGGAUGACGUCAAAUCAUCAUGCCCCUUAUGACCUGGGCUACACACGUACUACAAUGGCUGGUACAACGGGAAGCGAAGCCGCGAGGCGGAGCGAAUCCUAAAAAGCCAGUCUCAGUUCGGAUUGCAGGCUGCAACUCGCCUGCAUGAAGUCGGAAUUGCUAGUAAUCGCGGAUCAGCAUGCCGCGGUGAAUACGUUCCCGGGUCUUGUACACACCGCCCGUCACACCACGAGAGUUUACAACACCCGAAGUCGGUGGGGUAACCGCAAGGAGCCAGCCGCCGAAGGGGGUUGAGG
rnacentral:rRNA from 1 species